UACGAAGGGGGCGAGCGUUGUUCGGAUUUACUGGGCGUAAAGGGCGCGUAGGCGGUUCUCCAAGUCCGUUGUGAAGGCCCCGGGCUCAACCUGGGAAUGGCAGUGGAAACUAGGGGACUGGAAUCUGGCAGAGGGGGGUGGAAUGCCGCGUGUAGCAGUGAAAUGCGUAGAGAUGCGGCGGAACACCGAUGGCGAAGGCAGCCCCCUGGGCUGAGAUUGACGCUCAGGCACGAAAGCGUGGGGAGCAAACAGG
rnacentral:rRNA from 1 species